GCCAGGUGUGGUGGAGUUCACCUGUAAUCCCAGCUACUUGGGAAGCUGAGAGAGGAGGCUCACAAGUUAGUUCAAGGCCAGCCUGGGCAAAUUGAAGAGACCCUGUCUCAG
rnacentral:sRNA from 1 species